ensembl:snoRNA
AGGAAAAUGGAUGACUAUUUGGGGGGCAUGUGAGUCAAAAUAGAUGACCUCAAGCUCCUGGAAACUCUGAGAUUCAA